GAACCCCCUGGCAAUGGGCAAGGAGACACCUGAUUGUUGGUGCUGCUCUUAUACCAGUUGGGUCCAAGCAGAGAUACAGUCUUAAUUCAUCCUACCUUGAUGCCUGUGUUGGUGGCCAGAGCUGUUUCAUGCCUGGGGCACAUAA
rfam:Myotis brandtii contig321352, whole genome shotgun sequence.